rnacentral:rRNA from 1 species
AUUGAACGCUGGCGGAAUGCUUUACACAUGCAAGUCGAACGGCAGCACGGGGGCAACCCUGGUGGCGAGUGGCGAACGGGUGAGUAAUACAUCGGAACGUGCCCGGUCGUGGGGGAUAACGUAGCGAAAGUUACGCUAAUACCGCAUACGAUCUGAGGAUGAAAGCGGGGGACCUUCGGGCCUCGCGCGAUCGGAGCGGCCGAUGUCCGAUUAGGUAGUUGGUGGGGUAAAGGCCUACCAAGCCGACGAUCUGUAGCUGGUCUGAGAGGACGACCAGCCACACGGGGACUGAGACACGGCCCAGACUCCUACGGGAGGCAGCAGUGGGGAAUUUUGGACAAGGGGCGCAAGCCUGAUCCAGCCAUUCCGCGUGCAGGACGAAGGCCUUCGGGUUGUAAACUGCUUUUGUAUGGAACGAAAAGGCUCUGGCUAAUACCUGGGGCUCAUGACGGUACCGGAAGAAUAAGCACCGGCUAACUACGUG